GAUGAAGAACGUAGCGAAAUGCGAUAACUAAUGUGAAUUGCAGAAUUCAGUGAAUCAUCGAAUCUUUGAACGCACAUUGCGCCCGUCAGUAUUCUGGCGGGCAUGCCUGUUCGAGCGUCAUUACGCCCCUCAAGUCCCCUGUGGACUUGGUGUUGGGGAUCGGCGAGGCUGGUUUUCCAGCACAGCCGUCCCUUAAAUUAAUUGGCGGUCUCGCCGUGGCCCUCCUCUGCGCAGUAGUAAAACACUCGCAACAGGAGCCCGGCGCGGUCCACUGCCGUAAAACCCCCCAACUUUUUAUAGUUGACCUCGAAUCAGGUAGGACUACCCGCUGAACUUAAGCAUAUCAAUAAGCGGAGGA
rnacentral:misc_RNA from 1 species